rnacentral:rRNA from 1 species
UGGGGAAUUUUGGACAAUGGGGGAAACCCUGAUCCAGCCAUCCCGCGUGUGCGAUGAAGGCCUUCGGGUUGUAAAGCACUUUUGGCAGGAAAGAAACGUCAUGGGUUAAUACCCCGUGAAACUGACGGUACCUGCAGAAUAAGCACCGGCUAACUACGUGCCAGCAGCCGCGGUAAUACGUAGGGUGCAAGCGUUAAUCGGAAUUACUGGGCGUAAAGCGUGCGCAGGCGGUUCGGAAAGAAAGAUGUGAAAUCCCAGAGCUCAACUUUGGAACUGCAUUUUUAACUACCGGGCUAGAGUGUGUCAGAGGGGGGUGGAAUUCCGCGUGUAGCAGUGAAAUGCGUAGAUAUGCGGAGGAACACCGAUGGCGAAGGCAGCCUCCUGGGAUAACACUGACGCUCAUGCACGAAAGCGUGGGUAGCAAACAGG